rnacentral:rRNA from 1 species
CAGUAGCCACGGUAACACGGAGGAUCCAAGCGUUAUCCGGAAUCAUUGGGUUUAAAGGGUCCGUAGGCGGUCUUGUAAGUCAGUGGUGAAAGCCCAUCGCUCAACGGUGGAACGGCCAUUGAUACUGCAGGACUUGAAUUAUUGGGAAGUAACUAGAAUAUGUAGUGUAGCGGUGAAAUGCUUAGAGAUUACAUGGAAUACCAAUUGCGAAGGCAGGUUACUACCAAUUGAUUGACGCUGAUGGACGAAAGCGUGGGUAGCGAACAGGAUUAGAUACCCCGGUAGUCCCUGUCUCUUAUAC